UUUUGGCUCCUAACAUAGAUUUUUUUUUCUAUUAUCCUUUCCUCUAGACCCAUUGGAUACAAAACUUUUGUUAAUUUAGCACAAAUUAUACUAUUUAAAUGAUCUAGAUAAAUGAACAUUAAGAAAAUAUCACUUAAAAUAUAUAAGAUUUCAGCAAAUAGCAGGAACAUUUAGUGACCAGGAAGGGAAGGAAAGCCUACAAGUUGCAGGAAGCUUGAGGAGUUACCACGUUUGGCAAGUCAAUAAUAGCUAGACAAGAUUGGUUUCUGAUAGUUGCCUUGAUGAAUGUAUCUUUCUCAAACACAGAUGCAGGGAACAGAGGAAGUCAAACAACAAAAAAAUAGUGUUUAAAAAAACUGCUUUGGCUUUAUGUAAGGCCUAAAACCUCAUAUACUUUUAAUGGCUAAGCAUUCUAUCCAACUUAACCACCCGGUGCUAUUUUCUGGAUUCAUUUCCCAAGAGUUUAAUUUGUGUGCAUAAGAAAAAUUUCCUUCACUGAAGUAUAUAAUUUGGGGUAAGAAUCAGUUAUAACUGAUAUUUUGCUCAAAUUUAUAAACUUAAAUUGUUUCUGGGACUAUAAAAGGUCUUGAUAUUAAUAGCAUCUACUAGAAUAUUCAGACCAAGCAAAAUCUGGAUGCAUUGAGCUUGAUACCAGUUUGUUCUCUAAAAUCAAACUUGACUGAAAUCAUGUGUAUUUCUUUUAUGUAUGUACAGUAGAUUGUGCAAUUAGGGCACAUUUAUGUCCAGCUCAUUAUGCCUUCCUGCAUUGUCUUUCCUUUCUGUGUGAUAAUGAAUCGUUUUGUAAUUAAAUAGCAGGAGAAGAAAAUAUGCAAUAAUUAUGAUAUAGUCCGGGCAGCAAGUAUCUUGGUAAGACUCUACUAUUUUAAUUUGCAUGAUAGGAACUGGUUUAAUCCUGCCUUAAUUUUUUAAAGAGUUUUUAUAUAUGCAGAUCAAGCAGAAACUCUUAUUUGGACUUAGUAAUAGAGCUCCUGUCAGCUUAGAAUCAUAUUUAAACUAGAACAUUCAGAUAUUUGGUUGAAGUGAGUCAGUACUCUCUAUGUUCCAGCAGGAGGUUGGAGGCUGUUGCAUGUGCAUGACAUGGAUGUAUGUACAAAUGACCACCCCAAAACAUAAGCAUAUGAGCAGAUGCAUCAACAUACAUAUAUGCAAUUAUAUACAUGUUCUUUCAUUCAUUUAGUAAAUAUUCAUUUAGUAUUAAUAUCUGAUAUCUGUCCAGUGUUCCAGACAUGUAGGUAUAAUAGCAAAACAGGAAAAGUUCCUGACUUUUUGAAGCUUACUUACAUUCUAGUGAGAAAGAAUAAAAUAAACAAAAAUGUUUAUAAUGUCAUAUAUAUUCAUACCACACACAGACACAUAUAUGUACAUAUGUGAAUAUACUCACCUUUCAUUCCACUCUAUAUGUACAUACACAGUUGCACCUGUUCAGGUCAGUUUAAAAGAGUGGAACAUUUUUCCAAAGUUAAAUGUGCUCUAGAAUUGGUUGGGUCAGGCUGUGGCACCAAGAAAAAUUGCUUGUGGAGUCCUUGAUCUUUGGUCACUCACUCUCAUUGUAUCAUGGAAUUGUGAGGACUAAAUGUUAUCACAAAAGUGAAAUUAUGAUACCAUCUAUCCUGGCAUAUUACUCAAAAGACUUGACAUUCUUUGAUUGUCAUAUUUAGGGUAAUGUAAUUGGGUUAGAGCACUGCAAAGGUUUUCUUCUUCUUCACUGUCACUAGAUUGGGAGCGAAAACAGGCUUCUAAUUUGCUCCCUGCAGUUUACUGGCUGUAUGAUUUGGGCACAUCACUGUAUCUGCUGGGGCCUCAUUUUCCUCCUCUGUAAGAUGAACUGGUAGAAUCAGAAUAGCCUCUAAAAUUUCUUCAGGCUGUAAUACCCUUUGCCUCUGACUGGAAUCAUUCACCUUGGUAUCUCACUGUUCAGAGAGCAUAUAACAUCAUGCCCUCUCUACAUCUCAUAUUCUCAAGAACAUUACCCUGUACAGAAUAUGCUAUAGCCAAACUUGUCAACAGACUCGCACCAGCAAAGAAUCCAUCUGACUUCCCUUCUGUUGUUGUCUGUCACCAGCCUGGACAAAGCAUAUGAUUCAAAUAUGGAAACUAAGGUUUAGUGUGACAGUUCUCAGAAAGGUUUUUCCCAACACCAUGACCAUGAGAGAUUCCCCCUGCUACAUGCUCCUGAAUUACCCUGGGCUUAUUUUCUGCAGUUCUUACCACAGUGUCAAUUAUGUAAUUAUUGUGCUGUUUUUAUUUAUUGCCAGUCUCCCUUACUGUACAUUUUAUAGGAAACAGAAUUUGUCUUAUUUUGCCACUGUAUCAACAACACCUAAAAUAGUGUCAGGAAAAUAGAACAUACUCAAAGGUUGUGUUUAAAAAGAAAUGAAUAACUCCAAAAUAAUCUGAUUUCUCAGUGUGGCAAUGAUCAGGCAGCUCUUCUGUAGGAAAGCUUCCCUGGUCACCCUUCAUGGCUUUGCCCUUGGCCUUUGGUAUUUUUCCUUAACAGAGCCAAUAGUGCAGCUGCUCCUUGGCAGGCCUGUUUUCCUGCUAGCAUUUGUUUCCCAGAAAGCUGUAUCAUUGCCACAUAGCUUCAAAUAGAUCACUGGGACAACCACAGUAUCACACAUUCUGCCAGCCUGUUCUGUUCCUGCUGUUCCAUGUUGACUCUGUCCUUACAGAUUCUGGCUCACAGAAAUUGCCUGUGAGUACAAUUCUCUUCAGUGCUUAUAGUGUGUAUCUUAUAGCAUCCUUUCUUUGAGAGUUUGCCAUUGUGUGCCAUUUCACACUGGUCAACAGGUGGACUCAAUUUAUAUAUCUCCAGAACGUAAAGCUAAGAUGGCAGAGACAUUUGUCCCAACCUCAUGCUGCCUUUUUAUUAGUAGUUUCCAGCUUCUUUAUUAUGCAGUCAUUUACAAAUAUACUGCUGAACUAGGGCCUGUGGAUGGCUAAGGAUUAAGAGCCAUCUUCCAUGAUACCAGAUCUAGAUAAUAGAGGAAAGAUAAAAAUUCCAGUCCCGGUGCUAGGCAUCUCAGCUUGUUUAUUCACCUUAAAAAACCACCUUACCUAUGAUCAAUGGGUGCAAAAAAAAAAAAAAUCUCACAGCUAGCUUAUAGAAGAUACUUGCAUCUAAGUCUGUCUGAUUCUAAACAUAUGAAUGACAUUCCUCCCAUGAAUAAGUCUUAGUGAUAGUGUUGAUUUGAAUUUGCCACAUCCCUUUUAGCUCCAAUGUGUCAAACUGGUGAGUAAUGUGCUAAUUCAGUAGAAUGAGUAUCACAAAGCAGCUGGUCAUUUGCCAACUUCUUGGAUAUCUCUCAAAACUCCAGCCAAAAAAAAAAAAAAACCAAAAACUAAAAGCCAUUCCUCUGUAUAGUCAUAUGUGGGAAAGAGUUGGAGAGAGCCACAGGUCAUAAUUUUCACUCCUUGGAAGUAAUUAGGAUUCUGUAGGUUAAAACCAAUAAACAGUCCAAACAGUUAAUUGCCAGGUGUCUUGUAGGUUCUGUAUUUAUUCUCAUGGCAUCAAUACAAUGGGCUUUUAUAAAUAUGCCAGUGGUUAAUACCUUUCUUUUGAAUUUUUGUUGUAUCUUUAACCAUAUUCCUUUUGUUGUCAUUUAUAUUCUAAUUUUUAUUAGAGAGGAAAUCAAGUGUGUUUGCUGAAAGAUCAGACUUUUAUUCUUCUGUGAUAUUGGGAGGAAUGUUUCAGAAACAGCGCCACUCUCUAGUCAGAUCCUUUCCAGAUAUUAGUGUCUAUACAAUGAUGAAAGUCCUCUUUGGUCUCAGAGUGCUAUAUAAAAUAGUCACUGAAACCCGAAGUUCUUCCAUGGCCUUUUGAUUCAAUGUUCUAUUUACAGAAAAUUGGUAGUUCACCUAUGAGUCUGGGAAGAACAUUUAAAUAAAUUGUAAUUCAUAGCAUAGACCAAAAUUCUUCUAAAAUUUUUCCCUCAAAUCCCAUACAAUAGGGAAAUAUACUGGGGCAACUUUGAAUAUAAGUCUAGAAAGUUAUUUUAUUAAUAUUAUUAAACAUAUGCAUGCACAAUUAGUUAUUAGUGUUCCUUUGUUGCUAUAGUUUUCCUCACUCAAAAUAGAACUGGCUUUUGGUUAAGUGAGAGGAUGUUUACGAUAUUCAAAGAAUAUUACAAAUUUGACCUAGAUUAAAUAUGUCAAUAUUUACACUGCAUCAGGAUAUUUACCCAGAUGAUAAUAAAUUUGUAUCUUUUCUUAGUUUUGACAUAAGGCUUUAUUUCAAAUGGAUACUGGAGAUACAGAUAUAUAGAAAUACUUAUAAGAAUACUCUAAUUCUUACCCCUCUGCAAAUCUUCCUUUAGUCUAUCACAUACACAAAUCUACUCAAACACCUGCAAACAGUUGCUGCAUGUAGGCACAAAAGCUUCUACAAAACACAUGCAGUCUGUCUUGUACACUUGUAAAUUAUAGUGAAAUGUUGGUGGUUGAGAGUAGCUCAUGUUAACCUGUAGGCUUUCCUUUGUAAACAUUUGGAAAUUUUUUUGCAAUCUUUAAUUAAUAUAAAUGGUUUUCUUGAAGAAAAAGAUAUUUAUUUUUAAGGUUAAAUUAUAUGAUAGUCACUUAUAAUGGCAUUAAAUAUUGAUAGUGGUAUAAUGGUUUUAAAGUAACUUAUAAUUUCAAUUAAAAAAUAAGGUAACAUUUAUAGAGUGAUGGCUACUUGCCAGGUAGUCACUGUGCUAACUAAUUUGUAUGCAUUAUCACUUUUACUCUCAUAUAGUUGAGUGGCAGUUAUAGUCCUUAUCUCCAUUUUAUAAAUGUACAAACUUAGAUAAAGUGAGUAACUUCUAAGUAUCGGCACCAAGAUGUGAUCCUGCGUAAGUUUCCUCUGGAAUCUCUAUUAUUAACCACUGUGUUAAACCAUCCUUUAAACAACAACUAUAACACAGAGAUGUAUGUGGACCAACUAUUAUAAUAUCUUAACUUAUAUAUCAGAAAAGUAAAAUCUAGAGAUUGGGUUAGAGUCACAUGCCUAAGGUUACCAGAUGGGAUAGAAUCUAAGCCUCUGCCUGUCAAGACAGUGCUGUUUGUACAAGGCAGUAAUACCUUUUGGCCUCUGAUGUCAGCUAUAACCAUAUGACUUUACAUAGAUCAUGCAUUUCUUCUCCUUGGGGCAAAAGUGUGAUUCCUAAAUUAUACACUAUACACAAAGUCUCUGCUAUUCCAGUGCUCUAAGAGGCUUGACAUAUACUUUAUGGACCUUCCCAUAAAGGUGAAAAGUAAGGAUCACCUUUUUUGCCUUCUGUAUCUGACUUAGCUCACCUUGUCUGUCUUCUGCAGCUCUGUCAGCCCUAACCUUGGUCAUUCCAGGGCAAUGUCCUCUUCAUUCUACCGUAAAAAUGACAUUGCUUCCACUCCAUAAUGAUUGGGAGUCAGAGCUUUCAGGUGAAACCAUGGCAACCAAAAGGAUUAAUUUCUGCCGUGUCUCAAUAGCACAAUCAUAUUAUCUCUCAACAGUCUAAAAGAUAACUCACACACAUCUCCGCUGUAUAAUAACAUAAAGAUAAAAUAACAACCUGGAAACCAAAUGUAACCUUCCCAAAUACAUAGAAAUGAAGGGAUUUGAUACUGGACAAUUCUAAGAAUAUACUGUGUGUGCAGAGUUAUAAAACAAUAAUUAAUGCAGUCUUUAGAAAGGGCCAUUACAAAUGGUUCCUUCUCAUAACGCAGUUUCCUCAAUACCUUGUUUUAAUAGAAUUUCAUUCUGUCCUGGCCAAAAUUACAAUUACUAAAGAAGUAAAAUCUUGUUUUACAUGAUACCUCCUUUUCCACAUAACUGGUGAAAAUGUCUGUCGUGGUGAACUUCUCUUCACCUCUGUUUUAUGUACAAUUAAAACUAUCCUUUUGCUAAGGCCAUUCCCCACAGGAAUGCGAUAGCCCACAAUGAUGUAUUCUGCCAUUAACUCUGGAGUGCUCACUCGAUUCUCCACAUAAUAAGACACACAGGAGAGUCUCACUGAGGACCUUUACUGUCACUCAUCAGGAAAACCCACUUGGCACCUCAUGAAGAAUAUUUCAGUGCUCACAGGUUGAUGACUAAGACGGCAGAACAGCAGCUCAAAUCUGAUCCAUGUGAAAACAACAAAGUUCUUGAAAGCUAAGCAAUCUCUGGUUAAAACACUGUGUUAACAGAGUAGGGAUUUACAAGUUCAAGAUUCUUAUUUAACUGUGUAAUUCUGUUAUGAUAACAUCUUCUGAACUAUUAAGAAUUGUCCCUCCAUAGUGUCAAGUCUUAUAUGGAAGUAAACAGCUGCCUUUGUUGUUGGCUUGGAACAUGAGAACAAGAUUAAAAAAUCGUGUGUGUGAACCCUUUUUUCCAUGCAAAAUCUAUCACUAUACAAGUCUCCAGGAAUUAGCAUUAAUUGAAUUUGCCUCUCUUCCAGUUUUGGUGACAGAAGCCACUCACUUACUAGAUACCUCUAAUAAAAAGACCCUGUUAUUUGGGAAAGCUACCAGUAGUGAAGAGUUGUAAGAUCCCUUGCAAAGGAAUGUCUCAUUUAGGUAAUUAUAGAUACAAUGAAAGUGAAUAGGGAAUUUCUUCUAAAAGGUGAGCUAAUGGAAUGCUAAUACAUCCUAGCAUAGUAUCUCCCCCAUCUCUACUCCUUAUUAGCCAUGUGACUAUGAACAAAAUAUUAAACCUCUAUGUGUUCCAUUAUCUCAUUUGUCAAAGGGGAAUUAAUAAUGGUAUCUACUUCAUAGAGUUGUUGGGAGUAGAAAAUGAGUUAAUAUAUGUAAAACAUUUAGUUCUGUUUCUGGUACAUAGUAAGAGUUUGCUAAUUUCCACAAUUCUAAUUAAUAUAGCAGUAAUAAUUACUGUUGUUAUAAUAGCUGUUCAAUAAGUAGUCUCUGAAAUAUUGAAUCAAUGAUCUCUGAACAGUAUAAAGAAAUCUAUAGCAGAUUUACUUUGUUCAGUUUCAACCAUUAUUCAGACUCUAUUUUCUAAGUAAUAAAAUAUCAUUUUCUUUAAAAAAAACAGUUAUAUUGAGCUAGCAUGAUCAUUCUGAUGUGUUUAGAGAUAUAAGGGGGGCAAAGUUAGUUAUUUUCCAGCAACCAAUAUGACUCCUAAAUAAUUACCGUAAAACAUAGUAUGUUCGCCAUUUAUUAAUUGGAAAAAAACAAUGUCUAUAUUCUAGGUAAAAUUUUGUUAUUUAUGUAGUUUCCUCCAUUCAUACGAUCCUCCAUCUUUGCAUAUACUGGUAUGGUUAAAUUCUCCCUUAAUUCUAACACUCUACUGAAUUUUCUCUUCAUUGAAUCAGAUAAAAUAUUUUUUCAUUCACUUCUGUAAGUAAUAAAAAAAAAAAAACUACUACUGAUAUUCUCACUGGGUUGUUUAUAUAAAAUACAGUGUCUUUAUUCCUCCCAACAACCCUACAAAGUAGGAGCUAUUAUCUACUGAUAAAUGAAGACACUGGAGAUUGGAGAGGUUCAUAAAUCUGAUCCAUGUUUUAUGAAGAUCCUUUCUAACUCACCAAACCAUCUCAUAUCAAGGAAUCUAGCUGACUGUCAUUAUCCACCACCUUCAGUGCCAGCUUUUCCCAGUCUCAGUGUUGUGAUCUCACUCUGGUUUCUUUUCUGCUUCCUGUCUAUAUAGCUCUGUGUGUGACCCCCUAGUUUUUUAUGAUCUGAAUCUUCAACUCAACCAACUUCACUAUUCCCAAUUCAUAUUUUACAUCAUUAGGGAUUCUGCUUUAUCUUGGCUUAUGUGGGAAAAGAAAACACCUUAUAUUGACUGUGAAGCUAAAAUUAUGGAGUAGGUCCUGUGUCUAACAUAUUUUUUUCAUGCACUAAAUGCUGGUAUUCUUUUAAAAGGCUUUAUAUGAGACAAUGUGGCUUUACAUAAGCAAUUUAGCUGUACAUAAGCAAGCACAAUGAAGAGCUUGGUUCAAUGGGAUAGCUAUUUGUUUCUACCAUCCUUUCACUGAGAUGAAGUUGUAGUUGUAUGCCACCCAUCGUUUAGAAUGGGUUCUCAAAUCAGCAUUAGACAGUCACAACAAUGGAAGCCAAACAGUUGACGAAAUUGAAGUUCAAAUGUCCAAAUUAUUGAACAUAGAAAACUCUGUCCACUGUCCCACUAAAAUGAAUAAAUAUUCUGAUUAAGCUUCUACAUUCAAGCCAUUUUAUGCUUUCCUUUCUCUUUUUAAAUUUUAAACCCUUUUAUUUUAUUGACAUUUUAAGCAUAUUGAGAUUUAUUAUGUAGAAUGAAUAACUUGAACAUAAAUUUUAAUUAUUUUGAAGGAGCAUUUUUUUAAUUUAAAAGCAUAAUAGUCAUAAUAAGAGAUUAUUGCCAGCAUACCAAAAGAGUGUCCAUUAAAGCAUCAUUGUUCUGAUAUAAUUUUUAUUCUAAAAUUUUGUUAUUUUUUUAUAAAUAAUGGAAUUUUGAGAUAAGAAUUGAAGUCCCUAAUAUUUUAAACCCUAUAUUAUAUGGUCUAUAAGCUUCACAAGGCCAACCAUUUUUAACUGUUUUAUUAGCAACUAUAAUCUCAGCACCUAGAAUAUUGUUUAACACAUAUAAAGAACUUAAAUAUUAAUUGUGAAUAUAUUCAUUCUUAUCCUUGGACAUGGAAAAUAGGAAAAUUCUCACGUUUUUAAGCAAUCUAAUGCUGACUUGCUUUAGAAAGGUUCCACUUCUCAUUAACACAGAAUCACACUGCCUGAUGGAUGACUGGACUCUUGAAUUUUUAAUUAUAGAUUGUUAUGGAACUAAUUCUCUUGCCAUUUGAGAGCGUCUCUCUUCAAAAGUAUAUUCUCCCAUCCCAGAUCUGUUGUAACCUAGGCCAUGAUCCUUGUCAGCCAUCCUGAACAUUUUGCAUGGUCCGUUGGCCCAGACAUGUCUGAAAAGGGCCAAAAGAAUUGGCUCUUCAGAUUGGGGCACCUACAGACUUUAGUCCGCCACAAAAAUGAUCCCAGUAAUGUUGUUUGGAAUGGUCAUUUUUUAACUGAUGGUAAACUAGUGUUUCAUUAUUCAAACCAAUAGCUAACCUAAAAGGGAGGGCAUGUGAGUGAGUUCACUGUUCAGUGGUAUUGGUAAUUGCCACUGCCUUAUCAGUAAAGGAGCAAGAGUCCCAAAAAGCUUGGCAGAUUUUUGUUAAGGUGUUUUUCUGUUUUGUUUUGUUUGUUUGUUUUAUGUUUUUUGCUUUGCAACAUCUCUUGAAUGUCAGGGGAACAUAGCUGAGCAAAGGAGUUUCCCAGAAACAAGAUUUUGCAUGAAGAUCUCUGUAUUUACCUUUCACAGCCACACUCACUGUGCUAAGUUUUAAACGUCUUGUCUGGUUUUCUUACUAUUAUAGAAUUUUCUUAUCAACUAGGUUGAAGAGUGGAUUACCACUGUGAAAUAAGGGCUGAAUUAAGUCUCUCAGGCCACUACUUUAUUAGAGUUCUUCAAAAAUGCAAUGUUUUUCUGAUAUUUGCAUUCUCUCUCAUUAAAAAUUGUCCAUAUCCUUUAGGAUUGCCAAUGUUGGUAUUUAAUCUUUGUAUUCCAGGCUAUUUUAUUAUCACUAUCAUUUAAUGCUUGAAAAAAAAAAAUAGUUCUAUGAACAAGAUAAGUUAAAAUGGAAAUCUUAAAUAAAAGCAUAUACAUGAUUUAAAAUGCCAUAGAAUUUAUUUGUUAGAUACUUGCUGGAAAAUUAUACUGAUAUGCUACUGACACAAUUAUCCUUUAAUUAUGUCUGAGAUAUAGCCAGCAGUGCCUUGCAGACACACAAAUAUAUUACAGAAAUUAUUGAGCCUACUACCUCUAGUCCUGUCACAAGUCCAGGUCAGUAUCCACAUACAUUCACAAAGUAUGUUUGGGUACUUUUUCCAUUAAACAAGACCUUCACAUCAUCAUAAAAAUAAACUGAGUUGAUUAUGGGCCGUAUGCUCACGGCACUGCUUUAAUGUCUGUUUCUUGUCCUCGUCUAUCUGUGGUGUGUCCUCCCUUUGGAUUUUGUGAUCUGACCCUGAUUUGAAGUUAACAUCUUUGACUUCCUUCUGUGGGAUGUAUGGAGUAAAUAUAUGUCACAUUGUAGAAUAGCUGCAAGGUGAUUAGCUUCUCCAAUACCUUUGCAAACAGAGCUGUAGAGAGUUUACAAGGUUUUCUGAGUAGCUAUUAAAAAACGAUUUGCUUUGGCUUGGUAUUACAUUAUUAUAAAAUCAUUAUGAAGCAAGAGGCAUUUAGUGCUUUUAAAGGGAACAAUAGCUAGGGGAAAGCCUAUACUUUUACUCUUGCAAUAUUAUAGUCGGAGAUUUUGGUCUCUUGAAACUGUCAAGUCAGAGGACUUAUUUCAGUUGUUGAGCUUUAUUUUCAGAUUGUUCUUAAUUCAACCACAAAUACUCAGUCUGAAAAGAUAGGACAUUGCUAUAAGUGUUUUUCUAAAAGUUGUUUUCAACUGUGAACAUUUCUGAGUGACAUGAAAUCGAGAUAAAAGCUAUUGAUAUUAGAAACAACCUUUAUCUUGUUAUAUAGGAAUUUAGCAGUUCAUUUUGAAUGUUGGCUGCUGGCUAUUUAAAGAAGAAAGUGGAACUGCUAAAGUUAUUUAGCUUUGAAAAGUUCACAGGGAUUUCUUGUAACUGCUGAGUUAAAGGAUUUGUUGAUGCUGCCUACCCAUAAGGAGGUAUAAGUUAGUUAAAUAGUUGUUUCUCCUCUCAUUCCAGAAAUGGCACUAAAUUUUAGUCUAAAACAGGAUUUGCUGAUCUGAGAAACUGAGUGUUUUAGAAAUGAAAAAAAAAAAAAAAAACCUCUAUCUCAAAUUGUAAUCAAUCAAAAAUGCUUUAAAUUGCUUUAGAUGAUUAUGAAUUAUCCCCACCCCCAAAAUGAAACAAGUUUGAGCAAGUCUAUGAUUAUGUAUUUAAAGAAUCUCAUAAUAUAAAACUUUCUGGUCAAAUUAUAGAACACUUUUUCAUAACCUUUCAAACCAAAGCAUAAUUGAGCAGUCUGUUUUAAAUUAUUUUAUAGUUGAUGCAUAGAAGGUUUAAGUUAUAUGACUAAUAACAGUUUCCUAUUUUACAGAUGAGGUUAAUAGCCUCUCAAGUUUGAGUGUUAUAUUAAUAUAAUUAGAACUAAUAGUCAUCUGAAUCUUAUUUAUCUCUUAUAAAGACUUAAUAGAUAUGAUUUCUUUGAAUACCUAUGACCUCCACAGAGUAAUAUAUUCUCAGGUUCAUAGGAGACUUAGAGUUAAUCUUGUUAGUAAACUUUUUGAUCUACUUUUGUCCAUCACUUGUAAAGAGGAUAUCAAGUAACUUCCAUGCAGGUAUAUCACCUAGUGGGCUGAAGUGAAGAUUGGAUGAGUACUUUCUUUCUUAUGCCAUUGCCCUAAUUAUUGGAUAAAAUCCUCAUAAAUUAAAAGGAUAGAGUACCUUCUUUAUCCACUCAAAUAGAGAAAACUGUAAAGCAAAAUAUUUUAAGAAGUGAUGUCUGGUGGCACUCAGUAGCGUCCUAUUUGCUGACUUCAUGUUUUUGCAAAAAGUUUUAUUGAAGGUAAGUAUAACAAGAUUCUUUUUCAGUAGGCCAAUUGUAUCAAAAGCUCUUUCAAUGGUUGGGACCCUGACAAAGAAAUUCACAUGUCAUAGUGCAAAGAAAUUGCUUUUACCUUUAUAAAGAUUUGUAUGUCUUCAAACAUGUAUAGCAUAAGGGUUAAGAACAUAGACUUGGAAGACAACUGCCUAAGUUUGAAUCCAAAUUCUAUUACCUUUCAGCUAUGUAAACUGCAUCAUGCAACUUAAACUCUCUCUGACUCAGAUUGUUCAUUUGUAAAAUGGAGUAGAGGUGCAAUAAUGAUAGUAUGUACUUAACGUAGAGUUAAUAUGAAAAUUGAGUAAGUCAACAUUGGUAAAGUACCUAUAAGAGUGCCUACUAUACAGUAAGUAUGAUAAAAGCAUAGGAUAAACGUGGGUGAAAAAUACACACACACACACAUAUACACGUAUAUAUCCUUAUGAUAUCCAGAUAUAGAAAAAGUUUAAUGACUUGCUUAAAGGCAAGAAUUUGGACUAUAUAGUAGUCCCUUAAGUACUAUGAGACCUAAUAAUUGUUGCUACUGCCCAUAGAAUGCCUAAGCAAUAGCCAUUAUGACACCAAAUUGGUCAAUUUUUUGCUAGGGUUUAUUAUUUUGAAACUAUGAAUACAUGAAUGCAUAAAAAGUAGUUUAAAAUUGAAUUCCUUAGCACUAUAUCUUUGAAAAAGAUAUUGUAAACUUUUUAAACAAAAAAUUAUUGUAGGAAAAGUCAAUAAAUAUGUGUUGAAUUGAAUUGAAAAAUGGGAAAGCAAACUCAGCUAUAGAUGAAACCCACCCUUCAUUAAUUGUGAAUUUGUGAAAGGCCUCGAGGGAACAGUUUGGUUAGGCAGGGAUUUAAAGAGUAUGUGGUUAUAGCAGGAUUGAAAAAAUGGGAUAAAUGAUAAACAAAAGCUUUUAAACAUAUAAGCAGUCUGCUGAGUGAGAUACAAAGGAGAAGGAUUUAGCAAUAUAUAACUCAAAGCAAAAGAUCAUUAAAGGCAGGUAGGAAAAUAAUUUACCCUAUGAAUAAAAUCAAACUGCUAAAAAGUUCCAGUUGUUUCAAAUGAAGCUGUAAAAAACAUUAUCCAAAUAACAAUAGUAAAUGAAAAUUCUCACCAAAGUAUUCAGGAGAUAAGAAAUAUCAGAUUUGCAAACUAUCCCAUUUGCUGCUUCUACAUAAGUGGAAAAAGAGAAUCUCAUAUUUCCUAAUAUUACUGCCAGAGAGUUAAAGCAUAAAGUGGUUAUAGUUAUGAAAAUAUUGGACACACUGAAAAUAGAUUGGAGAAAGUGAAUUUAUAUCAUUUAUGUCCAUAAGUUCUAAAGAAAUGAAGGUCUUGAAGUCAUAACUUAUAUUUUUAUAUAUUCUUGACAAGUCGGAAUCUGUUUCAAAUGAAAGGAAUGAAAAUUGAAUUAUUAACAUCAUUAUUCAAGAAAAGGCCAUGAAAUAUAGUAUGUAAUAAGAACAAAAGAAAACUAUUCUUUGAUCAGUCUCAGUCUCAGUUUGAAAGGUAAGGGUCAUUUUUCAUGAUGAAUGAGAUAUGCAGUGAAUUUGGAAAUAUAGACUAUUUUUACUGUAAUUGCUCUGCUAGACCAUAAGUUAUUCUGGGUAAUGGUCAUCAAGAUAAAAAUGCCUACCAUUAAGCCAAUAAUGCCAGCAUCCUAUUAAGCUACCUAAACCAUUUCCAUUUAAUUAAAAAAUAUAUAACUUUUUGUGAUCAUCUUUGAAGUGUAUUUUAAUACUAAUAUUGGAAUUUUAUUUUAUAAGAGUAGAAUGGAGGCCUGAGAGAGUAGAAAGCCUGUCUACUUUGAAUAAGACAAACUAUUAGUCCUGAAAUUUUCUAUUUGUUUGCUAGUGCAGCUUGUCUGAAUAUAUUACAACAAGUAUGCUCUACUGUGACCUCGAUUCCAACAGAUCAAAGCUGAACUUCUUACUUUAGAAUGAAUUGACAAUGGUACCAUAAUUCUGGUUUUGUAUUCCAAGGUUAUAAUUAUCUACAAAGCAUCAAGGUGAUCUUAUAAAAAGUUAAAAUUUUAGUCAAACCAAUCAAUAUUCACUUGGCUUCAUAUAGAUUCAGAAAAUUUAAUAAAUAUUAAUUCAGUCAAUCUUUUUUAAGUCUAUAGGCAGAUUAAAAUUGAGGUUUGUUUAAUGCACCCUGGAUACCCCACCUAGCAUUUGUCCUUACUUUGUCCCUAGAAGUAAUCUUUAACAGUUAUCAACUGAAAAUUUUUAUUCUGAAAAUUAUUUAUUUUUCAACUUCAUAUUAUUGGUGUACUAAAAGUAGCUUUAUUUAUACAUCUUUACACAAAUGGGGAAGUAGUUUAAGAAUAUUAUUUUUCCUAUCUAAUAUUAAACCAAGAAAGUCAAUGUAGACCCUUCAGUUGGACUCAGAAAUCUUCACUAUUUAAGUGCCUAUUAUUAAGCACACUGUAUUUAUGGGUAUUUUAACAUCAUUUUUAAAUCCAUGAAACAAUCCUAGGUCCCAUUGAUAGCCAAGGAAAAAAACAAAACAAUUAUUUUACCAAAGGUCACUCAGCAAGUAUAUGACUAAACCAAAAUUAAAAUGCCUAGAACUUUGUCAUCAAAUAUGUAUGCCUCGCUUUGCUUUGAACAACAGUAUUAAAAAAAAAAAACCCUGCAGAAUUGAAUGUUUAUAAACUGAAUCAUUUAAAUUCACCAGAAGACACCAUGUUAUGUAAAGAAAUUCCACUUUAAAUUGAAUAAUUCCUAACUGAUUCAUUUACUUAGCAAAUAAUUUUUCACUUUGCUAGUUUACUGGCUUUUGUUUAAAAAAAAAGUCUUUAUUUGACUUACCGCAGGAAGCCCCAUUUCCCAUUUCCUCUGAAGGAUAUAGUUCAUCAUUUAGCAAACAUUUAUUGAAUAACAACUAUAUCAGGCACUGAGUGCUGGGAGCAUAGGUUAUUAUCUUAAAGAGGUUUAUAAUCUAUUAAAAAGAGAAGCAUAUGUAUGGCUAACAAUUAUUUAAUUUAUGUUUAAUUUAAUUAUAUUCUAUAAUUUUAGUCUAAAGAAAGAAGCAGGCAAUUUUGCCUGGAGGAAAUGUUUGCAUAUGUGAACAGGGUCUUCAUAGAUUAGGCAUAGUUAGCAAGAAAUGGGAGUACCUUAGCAAACAAAGGAAAUGCUUAAACAAUCAGAGGUAGAAAGUAUAGAAGACUGAGGAUAAAAACUGAUUUGAUUUCUGUAUCUGUAUUAUCUAAUACAAUGCCUGGUACGUAGCAGAUCUUCCACAUAUGCCAGAUGAUGUCAACAAAAAUACUGAGACACUUAAUAAAAAGUUUGAAUGAAAAAAAAAAAA